rnacentral:rRNA from 1 species
CGGUACGUACUGGUAUUGUUGGUUUCUCCCUUCUGACGAACCAUGAUGUCAUUUAUUUGGUGUUGUGGGGAAUCAGGACUGUUACUUUGAAAAAAUUAGAGUGUUUAAAGCAGGCUCACGCUUGAAUACAUUAGCAUGGAAUAAUGAAAUAGGACGUUUGAUUCUAUUUUGUUGGUUUCUAGGAUCGACGUAAUGAUUAAUAGGGAUAGUUGGGGGCAUUAGUAUUCAAUUGUCAGAGGUGAAAUUCUUGGAUUUAUUGAAGACUAACUACUGCGAAAGCAUUUGCCAAGGAUGUUUUCAUUAAUCAAGAACGAAAGUUAGGGGAUCGAAGACGAUCAGAUACCGUCGUAGUCUUAACCAUAAACUAUGCCGACUAGGGAUCGGAUGAUGUUAAUUUUUUAAUGACUCAUUCGGCGCCUUACG